UACGUAGGGUGCAAGCGUUGUCCGGAAUUAUUGGGCGUAAAGAGCUCGUAGGCGGUUUGUCGCGUCUGCUGUGAAAUUUCGGGGCUCAACCCCCGAACUUGCAGUGGGUACGGGCAGACUAGAGUGUGGUAGGGGAGACUGGAAUUCCUGGUGUAGCGGUGAAAUGCGCAGAUAUCAGGAGGAACACCGAUGGCGAAGGCAGGUCUCUGGGCCACUACUGACGCUGAGAAGCGAAAGCAUGGGGAGCGAACAGG
rnacentral:rRNA from 1 species